AAAUUUGAUAAAUUGUACCCCUUUCUACACAGGUUGGGAUUGGUUGCAAUGCUGUCUAUGUGUAUGUGGUAUUGCACUUGUCCCGGCCUGUUGAGGUUGGUGGGUCUAGAACCUGGAAGAA
rnacentral:pre_miRNA from 11 species